rnacentral:piRNA from 1 species
UCAAAAAUUGGUACAUGAGGGGGUUUAU